rnacentral:lncRNA from 1 species
UCUUGAUCAAUGAAGUAUGAUUCACAUGCAAGACACAAUCUUGGAGUAUAACUCACAUGCAAGAGCAAGAAAACUUUUCUACUCCACAUUUCAUGAUGUGUUACAAACCUUCUUAGGACAUGUCACCCAAGACACAAUCUUGGAGUAUAACUCUAAAACGUCACUUUGGAACGAAGUAUGAUUCACCUUUUUGAUUUAACCAUUUCAACAAUUCCUGAUUCCUCUUCUUAGCCACACAAGUGCACUAAGGUGUUCUUGGAGUAUCAAUUGUGGUAUGGUUCUAUAAUCAUUAAGAUGAUCAUAAAACACGAUACUAAAGUACUCCCUUUUCCUUUCAGAUUGGAGAAACUUUUAUCUUUCUGUCUUUUUUAUUCUUCUUAUUCGUCCUGCUAUACAUUGAAACUUUUUCAAUGAUUCAGAAUUACACUUAAUCUUGUAAACAUGAUCAUAUUUACUAAACUUUUAGUAAAUCAUGACGAAUAAUCUUAUUGUUCUUUGUGGUGGACCUGAUCAGCGAACAACAGUGUGCACUAGAUCCCCUAGUCCUUCACUUGACUCACAUCUAUAUGUGAACAAGGAAUUAGUCUUAAUUUCCCAAAGAUGAAGGUUCUCAUUCAUCAUACAAUACAAGUUGCAUGAUUUCAAGUUUCUGUCUAACUGAAACUUUGGUGAUGAGAAUCUUUCCUUAAUUGGUAAAUUUAGACGCUACCACAAACGAAAGAAUCAAAUCCAUUUUCCAUCAUUGCUAGAAUAUACAUAAACAUCAAUUUUCACAAAUGCCAUUGCAAGGAAAUAUAAGAUAAAAUCAAAAUUUUUCUUUAUUUAUAAAAUGUGGAAAACCAUUCCUUACAAUGAAAGUACAUAUGAAAACUAUGUUUCUAAAUAUUCCUAAGAAAUCUCUCAUAACUCCCAAGUAGCAGCUCAAAAAUCCGAUCAUCGAACCAUGCGCUCAAAAUCCAUCUCUUUGCGAUCAGACUCAGCAUGCUUUUCCUUUACACUUCCUUUCAUCGAUCCUACAAAACAUCAAAAUUUAAUCUUAUCACAUCAUGUAUUAAGAAUCUAGAAAUAGGAACUUAAUAAAGUUAGAUAGUGGACUUAUUUGAAGCAGAGAAGCAAACAGACUCUUUUGGAAUGGCGUAUGGGAUUAUCUCAAACUUGGCCUUUCUCUUAUGAUCAAGCUUUUUAACCAUGGCUGAUUUCUUUCCCUUAGGAGAAGAAACCAUUUCUGAACCAUCACCUUUGCCAUUGUUAGGAUCCAUGGAAAUUUGGGAUAUAAAUCUUUCAUUCAAAUUUGCUUGACUAGUACGCCAAAUCAUUGUUGACUCAGCAACAAUUAGCAAAUAUGUAAGAUCAAUAAGGGUUACGUCGUGAUCUGUCAUAUAGUAGUCUUUAACAAACUGACCAUACGACUCGGGAAGUGAUUGAAGAACCAAGUCAACAACCAACUUCCUCGGGAUAGCGAUACCCAACAUUCCCAGCCUAUCAAUAUGCAACUUCAUCUCUAAGACGUGAGCACAUACAAAGUUUCAAUCUUCGUGUUUGCUUGCCAAUAGGGCUUGAGUGACCUUGAACUUUUCAAGUUGACGAACAUGUGGGUCAAGGAGAAUUAUUUGAAGGAGGUGGAGGAAGUGAAGUAAGAUUUCUAGGAACAUCAUCUUCAUGAGGAAAGCUUUUUCCAAAAGAUUCGGGAAGACCAUAGUUGUCAGAACUAGACAUCUACCAGGGAGAAAUUCAAGUUUAGUUGAAUUAAGUCCUUAAUAUAACUCCCAAAUGAAAUAUUAAGGUUAGGACCCAACACAACAAUUCACAAUUCGGAAGAGGGAUGUCGUAAUCCAAUUGCAAACUAUUUGUUGCUAGGUAAAUGACGAUUUACCAAUUCCACCAUGAAAAGAAAAUUUUAAACGAUUUAAGUUUUAAAUUGAAUUCCUAGAUCUUUUAAGAUUCAUUUAACUUUUCAAUGGUAUGUUUAAUCUUGAUUAUGCCCUUCAAGUUUGUGACUAGGAUACCGAGGAUCACAAACAAGAUGUGAAUAACCAUGGAAAUUAACUUGGUACUCUCGAUGUCUUUUAUCACCUAAUCAAUGUGUCGGUUAACCACACACGCUUCAUUGAUCUAUGACAAACUACAAGCAUGUUUCCAAUUUUAUUUAUUUGAGCAGAAGACCCAUUUGGAUGACUAACCCUUAGGUUUAACCUAGAAACAUUACCUGAAUCUUGACAAUGUGACUCAAAACUAAUCAUAUGUUGACUAGCUCCAGAGUCAACAACUCAUUUAUAACAACCAUGAUUAUGAAAAUAGUUACAUGAAAUACCAACCAUGUUGGCAUUGACAAAUGUUUCAUCCAAACCUUGCUUAUUUCCACCAAUAAGACUAAGAAACUUAGCAUAUUGCUAAUUAGUCAAAAAAAAAAGACAAUCAUUAUAGUUAUCACUAGUUCUAGACCUAGGAGAUUCAGUUUGAAAAACAGAAGUUGAAUUACUAGAAAACUUUUGUUUUGAUUAUUAACUUUAGAUCUGGCUUAUAGUCAUUUGGAUACCCUAUUAUUUUGAAACUUUUGUCAAUAGAGUGAACCUUAGAGUUAGAUUUUUUCUGAUCAACAAAUUUAGAUACAAAAGCGGAAGACGAGGUUUUAGAACAUGAGCUCAAAGAAUUAGAACUAUGUAUUUUGUUAUAUUCCUCACGAUAUACUAAAGAGAAAGCAAUUUUAACGGAGAGAAGAGGUUCCAUUAACAAAAUGUGACUUUUAACUUGAUUAUAAGACUCAUCUAACCCACUCAAAAAUUGCAUUAUUUUCAUAAGAUUUGAAUGAUUAUUAAAACUAUUAGCAGCUUCACAAGUACACUCGGUAAUAUUAGUUAAUCCAUCAAAUUAAUUCCAAUAAGAAUCAAGUUUGCUAAAAUAAUCAGACAAGGACAAACUACCCUAAAUGAGAGAAUUAUCUUCUGAUGAACAUUGAAAAUAACAGAACCAUCCGUUUUAUGAUAAGUUUCAGACAAUUCAUAUUAUAAAUCAUGUGCACUUUCUGAGCAGACAUGAGUAGCAUACAAAUUUUCAUAAAUUGAAGAAUCCAAGAACAAGUGAUAGCAUUAGCACGUUCCCAUUUAGACUCUUUAAUGGGAUCAUUAAUAGGUUUAGGAACAAUUCCAUCAGUAAAACCAAGUCUAUUACGAGCCUUUAAAACUCUAACCAUAGAACCGCGCCAUAUCCUAAAAUUUUCAGUUCCUAACUACCUGAAACUAAUGACACAAGUAACAAUAUUAUCAAAAUGAUGAACAUUUGGAUCAUCAAAGUUCACAACAUGAUCAGGUUUGGAUUCUGAUCGACUUGAGAUUUCAGUCACAAGACCAGUCAUACUAACAAGUAAUCGGAUAAUGAAAAAAAAAAGAUAACAGUGAAAGCCUUAAAGUCCAGAUGGUCACCACAGUAUAUUGGGGCCCAAGACAAGCAAUCAUCGAGUCAAAGAAAACAAUAACAACUAGUUAACUGGUGUACACAAGGCAACCAAAAUCUCCCAAAAUAAUUAUAGGAAAAGAGAGAACAGGAAACCCUCACACUGAGUCCAGAAGAGACAAAUAGUCAAUCAGAGAACCGAUCGGCUCUCAGAUCCGUUCUUUACUAAGGUUUAUCGAUGAUGAACUACGACCCUUGGAGAGUUAUUUCAGAAUGACGAGAUUAACCGAUCGAUCCAGUAGAAGAAAGCACCCUCCACCCAACCAAAGAGAAGAAAAGAAAUCUCUGAUCUUCUAAAUCUGCAAGAAACACACAAAAGACUCGUAGUAACCAAGAUCGAAGAACAAAUCAAUCAAAAAACAACCGACUGCAACAACAAAAACCCUAAAGUUUACACAAACUGAAACGGAUAUAGUUUUCAAUAGGAAAACUAGAUUAAACCAGUUUGUGAAGAUCAAAAGUGUGACAACCCGAAGUUCGUUCCGUUAUCAUAACCCGGUUCUGUUAAUAAAGUCGUUACGUUCCAAAAUUUUCCGUUAACUUUGUUUUAAUUUAAUUUAUUUGCGACUUCUAUUUAAAUUUCAUAAGUGUUACGAUAAAUUUUAAAUUCAUUAAAAUAUUUUCUAUUUUCAUUUAGAAAAUAUUUAGUUUCAUGUAAGUCGUAAUUACGGUAAAUUAAUCGGGUGCGACCAAAAGCUUCGUCUAGCGUCAGUAUCGGGUAGAAUUCCACCGUGUCCCAAACUUUGAACAUAUAUAAAGUUGAGAGAGCCUCAUUUGAAGCCUUUCCACUCUCUUUACUUUCUCUCUCUCUAAAACUCGAAAUCAAGCCAAAAUCAUCCAAAACAAGCUCCAAAUCAUCAAGGUAACUAUCCUAGCUCCUAGUAUAACACCUUUGGCCUUCAAAUUCGUGAAAAAUAUGAGGACUAGGACCAGAAACAUGUGUUUACGGUCCUAGAACCUCCUUAGGCUGUGAACACAUGUUCUUGGGGGUGGGGGGGGGGGGGGGGNGAGCCUUAAAACCCUUCCAAACCUCAUUUGGAGCCUAGAUAUGACCUAAGGACUUGUUUGCAUGGACUUGGAACACCUUGAACUCAUCAUUUGGGACAUAAGCAUGAUUUUAUGGCCCAAGCACAUGCUUGGACCGUAAACACCUAUUCUUGGGGAGUAAACUCAAUUUAAGGUGUUAGUAUGCCCCUAAAAACCUCCAACAAGCUUCCAUGAGAGUAUAGAACCCUAUAAUCCUUCAAGAAAUGCACCAAAACUUACACAAAUGGGACAAUCUUGAGUUUACGGUCCAAGAACAUUCUUAGACCGUAAACUCAUCUCCUUAGACCUUAAACUCAUUCAAUGGGUGUUAAAGUGCCCUGAACACCUUGUAUGGCUUAGAAAUGGGUCUAGAACUUAGUAUGCUUAACUUUCAACCACCAAAACCCAUGAAUCUUGGGCAAACAUGAGUUUAAGGUAGUAAACUCGUGUGUAUGGUAGUAAACUCGUGUUUAAGGUAGUAAAGUCGUGUUUAAGGUAGUAAACUCGUGUUUAAGGUAGUAAACUUCCGAAGAACAUCUUCAUAGACCGUAAACUCAUGGGGAUAUGGUCAAUGGACUGUGAACUCCUCAAGGGGUUUACUCUUGAAGAGUAAACUCCAUAUCUAGGUCCUCCACAUCCAUAGAUGCCACCCGGGUCACUCCGAACACUUGAAUUAAAGUGUUUUCACGUCUCAAAGUGUAUAAUCAUAUCUAACUAGUGAUUUAAAGUCUAAUUAGAUACAUUUGUAUCUCAUUUCAUAUUUCAUAGGAAACUCGUGCGUUAUCAAGCCCCGAUCUGACACUUAGCUUUCCAGACGACACGUUCCUCGACUGGUGAGUUCAUACCCCUACGCUUUUUCCGUGUUUUUCAAUGUUUUCAGGGGGGGGGGGGGAAAACAAAAAAACUAANGGGGGGGGAAUACAAGCAAACUAUAAAUGUUUUCAAAAACUAAAAAUAAUGUAUUUCUAUAAAUAUAUGGCUAACAUUUAGAUAUCUUUACCUCUUAUGUAUUAUGUUGAGCAUAAGGGAUGUUUUAUCGAUUAUAACUACAUGGAUUUCAGUAAAGGAAACAAUCAAAUCAAUCAAAUUAUUAUGGGAAUAAUUUGGGAUCUUUAGUUCUUGUUUAACGAGCUCAAAUUUAUAUAAAGUUAUGAGAUAAACUAUGUCUGUUUUUGUUUAUCUCUGUUUAAUUUAGAGUAUAUUGCCAGAUAAUUCUAUUAUACUUGACUGUUUUCACUGUAUUAUGUUUCAAAACGAUUACUAUGUUUGAUAACGUCUGAAAACACCGUGAAUAAAUCAAUACUAGCUUGUGAGAUUCGUCAUUACCUUUUGGGUUAUCAGUAAAUCCUCCCCGGAAGUGUAACCAGAGUCUCCUGGAGGGAGAGCUUGGAAUUUGUGAAUAGAUCUAUUCAGGACUGACAAUCCCACACCUAAACUGCUAGCUACAGUUAGGCGGGCACGCCUGGGGUGACAAAUUCUGGAUAUCGUCCGACGUCUGAUGAAUGUCAAGGAGGUCUCGGUGUCGCAUCAAAAUGGUUACCCGACUCACAAUACGUAUUAAUAUAAGUUUAUUCACGUAAUUGAUUUUAUAUCUAUCUUCUAUCUAUUGUUCUUGUAUCUAGUAUGGGAUGACAGUCCCAUGGUUUUGAAUCUAUAUCUAGUACGGGAUGGUAGUCCCAUGGUUUUGAUUUUAUAUCUAGUACGGGACAGUAAUCCCAUGACUUUCAACCUAUAGUCUUUGUGUAUCAAGGUUAUCUUAUAUCUAGUACGGGAUGGUAGUCCCAUGGUUUUGAUUUUAUAUCUAGUACGGGACAGUAAUCCCAUGACUUUCAACCUAUAGUCUUUGUGUAUCAAGGUUAUCUUAUAUCUAGUACGGUAUAGUAAUCCCAUGAUUUACAAUAUAUAGUUUUAUGUAUUAAACUAUACACUGUGGUAUUCAAAUAAACUUUACUUUUAGGAAAAUAAGGGUUUUUCCUGGGAUAACUGAACUGUAUUUAACUAGAUCGUGUAACUAAUGGAUAACUAAACUAUACUUAUAAAAAAAUAUGGGAUUUUCUUGGAUAUCAAACUUUUAGGAGAACCAAAAGAAACUUGUACAUUUUUCAGAAAACAAACAUCUUAUGAACUCACCAGCUUUAUGUUAAUUUUCAAACUACUUGUAUUCUCAGGUCCACGUUAGACAGGUACCCAGCGAUCCAUUUGGCGAAGACGGAGUACGUAGAAGACACGUCUGUACUUUUGUUCGUAUGAUAUAUAUGUAUGACACUUGUAACACUUUGAUUUCAAACAAAUGUAAUAAUUCUAUGUAAUGUAAUGCUUUGUGUUUACUAUGCUUACUAUGUACAUUGGAUUUGAUAUUCAACGUGCAGUCCGCCCCGGAAACGUUUCCGCCUUGGUUUCGGGGUGUGACAUAAAGGUAGUAGAAAAUGGAUAUCUUAUGAGAGAGUUAUGAUUUUUAUACGGACUUUAGAAAUCUAAGCCUAUAAAAAUAUAAAUUUAAAAAUAAAGUCAGAAUUAGCCGACAGAGUCUAAAUAAAAGUUCUAGAUCUCGACGAUGGCUACGUAUAGAUAUAAAGAACAGAGAAAUGGAGCUCGUGUGUAGCAAUUACAGAAAUGUGUGUUAUGAGCGCGGCGUGCGCUUCUAGAAGGUGGCAACACGGAGCACAAAGAAGGUGACAUGUGGCACAAAACGAAUGGGGAGACGUCACCUUAAGCGCGCGACACGCAUGACCAAAAUUUGUCUAUAAAUAUCAUUUCACCCCUCAUUCACUUCUCCACACCCUCCAUACACUCACUCGAAUUUCCACUCUUUCUGUCUGAAAAUUUGUAAUACCUAGAAUAUUUUAGCGAAGCUUUGGAGUCUUUGAAUGCCCGACAGUUAAAAGUAAUCAUGUCAAAUUAUGUCGGCGAUUUUCCACACUUUUGUCAAAAAGUCUAUGUAACUUAAGCUACACUUGUUAGGGAAAACAGACGAUACUGGUCAAGACUCAAAACAAAUUUGAUGUCACUUGCCAAGUUCUGGGUGGCCCUUGUUAGGAAGAGAUGUGAAUAACAAGCAAAACUAUAAGCAUAGAAAGACAUAGUAUUUACGUGGUUCGGUCAAGGCGACCUACGUCCACGAGUAGGAGGGGAGUAUUCUUUAUUUCAGAGUUCUCAAAUAGAGGUUACAAGUACAAUUCACCAAAGAUUCACCUAUCACUCUAGAAUUCAAGAUACAAGACACUAGACAAAUGACUCUACAUGCAUCCUAAUUUAUACUUGAAGGAUCAAACCUAAAACCCUAAUGGGUCAAGCUCAUUUGCCCAUAAGCCCAUGACAGGUGUCAACCAAUCACAAGCCGCCAUGCAGCAUCCUCUGGAACACCUUGUGCUAUAGUGGAGCAUCAUGAUGUACAAGUGGCUCAUCAUGAACUCUAAUGGGCCAACAUCCAUCAUGGUGGCACAACAUGGUGUAAUUCUUGAGCAAUACCAACUUCUGAGCAUCCUUGAACGAUUUUGAGCAUUAUAGAGGACUUCAUACAUACUUGGCUCAUCAAGGACCAAGAUGGUCCAUCUUGCUCCAUCAUGGUGCAACAAGAAUAUAGAUUACGCAAGUGGCUUCAAUUCUGGCACAAGCACAUCAAGAUUUGAGAAACAACACCACCAUGGCGCAAUAGGAACAUGCAUGGCGCAACAAGGACAUGCAUAGCGCAAGAGUAUACCUCAUGGCACAAGAGGAAUCCUCAUGGCGCAAGAGGGAGCAUAAUGGUGCAAGAAGGAAUACCAUGGCACAACAUCCCUGAUUGCCUCAAACCACCAAAGAAGUAACAAGUUUGGACUGAUCACAAUAGAACGACCACAAGACUUUCUCAAAGUAGUGAGAAAUGUAUAACCAUCCUGCUCUUUUAUCACUCCGAUAUGUCAUCUUCUUUUAAGAUCCUAAAUCGUUCAUUACAAGCUCAUUCUCCAAAUUCUUCUUCAAGGCGGUGUUUGUUUUUUUUCCGCAGAUCUUCUUGGCCUCUUCUAUCUGCGCGGCGCAGAUCACACACAUACAUUAGUCUUCAAAGGCUGUUUUUUUUUUAAGACUGUAGACCUAAAAAUGUAUGUGCGCCCUCUUUUAGUGCAGAUGUGGACCAGUCUUCUAACAUCUUCAGACAUCUUCUAGUCUAAAAAAACACAUAUAAAUAAAAAUUUAUUACAAUAAUGGUCGUUGAAGUUGUUUAUAAAAAUAUGAAAAAAAUAAAAUAAAAUAAUAUAUGCUUAUAUUUUUUAUGCCAAAUUUUAUAAAACAUUAUUUAAUACAAUAUCGUCAACUUCUUUGAAAAAUAUUUAUGACUAGUUUUUAAUUGAUUUAAAUCAAAAAAUCAAAGUUUAUUUCCAUCCACUUAUGUAUCAAAAUCUUUGAUUUCUAACUACAAUGUUUAGGUAUAACUUUGCGACCAAAAUUAUUAGUUUUUAUUAAAUAUAUACGUUAAUUUAUACCAUUUUUAUUUUCACUUUUUAUACAAUAAUACAUAAAAGUUGAUUUAGAUUUGUUAAUUAUUUAUUACAAAGUCAUAAAUAUAUUAAAAAAUCACUUUGUAGUUUAAAAAAUUAAUUUAUUUAGAUUUUAGUUUAUUUUAGUAGUCUGCAGAUGUUAAAAAAACAGUCUUCUUUUUUCAAACUGUAAAAGUUUGGUCUACCUCUUCUGCUGCAGAGGUCCACAGAUGUGGUCCACAGACUGCAAACAUUUUGUAUCAUAAAAAACAAACAACACCUAAGUUGUCUUUCUUGGCAUCAUCACCAGACACUUUUUCCCUGGGUUGAAAGGAAAAAAGCAACAAGCAAACAACAUUCGAGCAGAAAAACUCUAUAGGCAUAUGGCAUCAAAUUUCAGGCAAUUUUAUUAUGUAAUUCCUGAAGAUCUCUAUCCUACUACAAGCAUGCAAUUCAAUCAUAAGAAAAUAACAAUGACUUGGGGGUAUACAUUCUUGCUCUGGCUGAUCAUACACAUCCCGUCUUUCCUUGGUUACUUUUGAAAACCAUUUGAAAACAAAUUGAAAACUUUAGCAGAUCCUUAGUUUGAGUCUAGAUUCACACAAAUGUUCAUCCAAUUAUCACAAAUAGGGCUCUGAUAUCAACUUGUAACAUGCCAAAAUCACGAUAAAAAUUUUCAUUUUAAAAUCAAAAGAAAUCAUUGUUUUCAAACAAACCCAUAACAAAAUCAAGUAUAAAGUACAUAUAUCCCUAGAUCAGUGUACCAUAAAUCUCCAAGAACAUGUCAUAGAAGGAUGUGUAUGAUCAGACAUUCGUCUUGUAACGAUCAGCUGAAGUACUUGAAACAUGAAUUUGAAAACUAUAAGCCAGAGCUUAGUGAGUUCCCCCAAAGUCCAACCACACAAAAAUAUAGCAACAUGCGUACUAGGUCCACAACUAACAAACUGGAUUACCCGUGAGUCCACAACAUGAGUCUGGCUUACCUUCCGGCCCAUAGCUCAUGUAUGGCUUACUCCUAAGCACAUAGCCUAUGUUUUGCUUGUUUCCCGAUUUGUUGGCUUCUGCACAUAGCAAUAUUGCCUCAACCCAACCAAACUAUGUCGACAUAUACAUGUUAGAUAGCAUAUAUCCAGUAAACAGAUAAUCAUAUAACCACUCAACAAACUAACAGACAGAUCUACAGAUCAUUGUCACAUAACAAUAUCCUGUAUACCAGGCCUCGGUUCUAACAAAUCAAUACAACAUAGUAACAUCAUCAAAACCUGGAUAGAUAACCCAGUGGGUCCACAUUGGUGCCUUCGACCCAUUAGUACAGUGAGGAAAACUCACCUCUCAGUCUGGAAAGUUAGUUAGGCAGGACACUACUCCGAAUAUCAACUCUACAAGUCACAUAUACAUCAAAUAGUGAUAAAUCUCAACUACAACUCAAAAUACCCUUUGGUCAAAACUUCCAGACCCAGCGUACUUAGCUUGUACGCACGACGUACUAUAGGCUUGACCAAAAAGCAAGUUAUUAACCUCAUACGUGCAGUGUAUGCCCAACGUACGUGCCAACCAACUUCUCCUUCUAUUAAGAGCUUAAUCCCUUAAGGGCUUUUGUCCAAGAUCUAGAUCUAGUCCCAAAAACGUAUACUUUAUGACUUUGCAUAGCUAAGAAAUGCUCAAUACUAAAAACCCUAACUUCUUAACUCAUUAAGACAUUAUAACCCAUACAUGGAAGAAAACUAAUGACCAAAUUGCAUUUUUAUGGUCUUAGACACUCCACAACAUCUGGAAUGACAAUCCAUUUGGGUUUAGAGCAUGUCAUACUCAAGAACAUCAUUGAUUGGGGAGAAAAGCAGAUAAGCAUCAAGAUAUAAGCUUUAUACCUUCCAAGAUAUUCUCAUUUCCUUCUCCUUUCUCUAUGACCAUCAAAACACACACUAAUGGGUCAAGGAUGCUCAAAAAAAAUGGAUUAGGGUUAGCUAGGGUCGAAUAUGGAGGUGGAGAUGAAGAAUGAAGAGGUUUCAAAGAGAUAAGGAUGUUUAAAUAGGGUUCAAACCCUAAAAAUUAAGGUUUGACCCUUAAACACGUACGCCCAACGUACGCAACAUGCACCCAACAUACGCAUGCAACCUCUAUUUUUCAUUAAAAUGCCAUUUGGGACCAAAUUCGCAAUCAAUUCUCAUAUCAAGUGUCCAAAGGGAAAAAGAAAAAGACCAAGUUGUUUUUACAUAGGACUCGAGGAGUCGAUUUCUAGAAUUCUAGUCUUCUACCAAGAAUCAUGAUGUCAUUUCAUUUAUAUUUCAUCAAUCAAUCACCAAUUUCAUUUAUAAAUCAAUAGUCAAUUAUUAGCCGAAAGAAAGUUUGCAAUUUUUAUUUUGUAUCUAUGUAAUGAUGGUCAAAUAUCAAUUGGAACUUACUACAAUGGUGAUUUUAAUUCCAAUCGAAAGUCCUUGAGUAUGUAAUACAUUUUCUAAAUUAACAUUUGUUUUAUUUAAGAAAUGUUAAUUUAAGAAUUAAGUAUAAUGUGUUUAACUAUUUAAAAAACAUGCGGGUUACGAAAAAGGGUUAGGAUUGGAUUUUGAAAUUUGUUAACAUUGGAUCACGAUUGAUUCGCUCCAAACUCUCCCCAUUGCCAUGUCUACCUAUAUGUGUCAUGUAUUUUACAUUAUAUCUCUUGAAAUUACGACUAAAUCUAGCUCAUACUUUUUCUAUGAAGAACUCCCUCCGUCCCAAAAUUAUUGUCCACCGACAAAAAAACACAAUUAAGAAAACAUUAAUUACCCCUCACUUUAUUAAAUGAAAUGACAAUUAUACUUUUAGUUUCAUUUAAUUCCAGGAUAGAUUAACUAAUAAUGAGGGUAUUUUGGUAAAAGGGAUAUUUAUUUUUAGAAGUAACCUAUUAUUUUAGGCAAACCAAAAUGGAAACAUGAACUAUUGAUAUGAGACGGAAGGAGUAUUUCACAUCAAAAUAGAAGAAUCCUACUUCUUGUAUAAUUAUUCUAGUUAUAACACCCAAGGCUUACAUAAUCCUCGACUUACCAAUAAUCUUAAGUUUAUGAUCCAUUCGUACCCUUCAAAUCCUCAAUCCUUGACUAAUCCUUGACUUCCUGCUAAGAUCACUUUAUGAUUUAUUCAUAGACUUAACAUUCUAAUAUCCUUCUUUUCCUUAAUGUAUAUAUCAUAUGUCUAUAAUUCAUCAUAUUACUAGAUCAUUACGAGAUAAAGUCUAAAAUUAACACCUAUUAUCCAUUUUGCACCUCAUCAUGCUAACCAUGUUGAUUAGGUCCUCAAAGCACAUAUACAUAUAUGAUGCUUGAAUAAUCAAAUGGUACUUAUUAUUACAAAGAUCCAAUAUUGUUAUUUAUCUGUUUGCGAUGUUAUUAACAUGAUAGAACAUAAUCACGGGUUACUUAAAACAUUGGUCAUUUCACUUGUAACACAUAUUUUAUCUUUCUUGUCAAUCAUUCUAAUCCUAUUGUAUUCCUACAAAAAGGCUAUAAUCCAUAUCCUUACACUAAAUAUCCACUAAUAAUAAAAUUUCUAAAUAAACUUUUUGCCGUCCGUUCAUUCUUAGCAUCCUUUACAUUGGUGGUUGUUUAUUUCAAAGUAAAAUGCAUAGACAAGAAAAAAACAAAGUUUGAUGUUUCAAUGUUGUAAGUUGUAACAGAAAGAAAAAUGUAAGUACAACACUAAAAAUUGGACAAUUUUUAAAAAUGCAAUGUACAAUAGAAUGAAUUUUCAAAUUUCGAUGUUAUAAUGUUGUAAAAGAGAAAAAACUGAAAGUACAAAGCUAAUAUAGGAAUGAAUUUUGAAGGAAAAUCUCCGAUAAAGUCCCAAUAUUUGAGUCAGUUUACAAUAUAAUCUUAACAUUUAUUUUUUAAACAGAAAAGUCUUGAUUAUCUAAUUUUAUGCAAUAAUUUGUCAUUUCUCUUCAAAAAACAAUAAGGACUGUUUCAUUAAUUUUGAUAAAAUAUAAAAUAUCCAGAACUUAUCUGUUGAAAAAAUAAAAGUUCAGAUUAAACCGUAAACCGUAAACUCACCCAAAUUAUUGAAACUUUAUCGAAGAUCUCCCAAUUUUGAAAUGUGAAAUUCUCAUAAUAAGAAAGGUGAAAGUAGAAUGCUAUAUGUGGAAGAUUUCUCAAAAUAAAAUGCAUAGAUGAGAAAAAAGAAGUUUGAUGUUUCAACCUUAUAACAGAAAGAAAAGUGAAAGUACAAUUCUAAAAAUGAACAGAUGAGGAAAAAGAAGUUUGCUAUUUCAAUGUCAUAACAAAAAGAAAACUGAAAGUACAAUGUUAAAAAUGGGACAAUUUUUUCAUAUGCAAUGUGUUCAUAAUUUUAAAAAAAAAGUAGAAUUUUAUAAUUGCAAGAUUUUCAUAGUAAACUACAUAGAUGAUUUUUGAAAAUGCAAUGUGCUAAUAAUAAGAAAACUAUAAGUAAAAUGCUAUACUUUAAUGAUUUGUCAAAGUAACCUACAUAGAUUAUAUAUAAAUAAAAAUAAAAAAAAUAAAAACGUGUAAGGUUUCAAUGUUGUAACAAAAAGGAAAGUGAAAGCACAAUGCUAAAAAUAUGAUGAUUUUUAAAAAUGCAAUGUGUUGAUAUAUAAAAUCUAAAAGUGAAAUGCUUUAAGAUAGAUGAUUUUUCAAAGUAUACUGCAUAGAUAAAAAAAUUUAUGAUGUUUCAAUGUUGUAACACAAUGGAAAGUGAAAUCACAAUAAUAAAAAUGGAAUGACCUUUGAAAGUAGAAUGUUGGAUUAUUUUUCAAUGUUAUAGAAGACAAGUGAAAGUAAAAUGCUAAAAAUGGGAGAAGUUCUAAAAAUGCAAUAUGGUAAUAAUAAGAAAACAAAAUAUUAACAGUGUCCAUAUAUGUAUCAUGUAUUAUCAUUCAUACCUUAAAUGAUCUUUAUAUCUCAUGACAUUGUGACUUAAAUCCAGCUCAUACUUUUUCUAUGAAGUAUUUAACAUCAAAGUAGAAGAUUCAUACUUCUCUUGUCUAAUUAUUAUAAUUAUGACACCCAAGUCUCAACACCUUUUAUCCAUACUUAACCUCAUCAUACUAAUUAUAUCCUCUAACAAAAAGACAUGCUUAAAUAUUUAAAUGGUACUUAUUAGUAAGAAUAUCCAAUCUUGUUGUCAUUAAUCUUUUUGCGAUGUUAUUGUUAUGACAGAACAUAAUCAUGGGAUACCUAAUAUAUCGGUCAUUUCACAUGUAAUACAUAUUUCAUCUUUCUUGUCUAAAUAUAUCUUAUUAUCAUCUGUACAUUCUUAGCAUCCCUUGAUUGGUUCAUGUUAAUUAAAAGUAAAAUGCAUAUAAGAAAACUGAAAGUAGAAUGUUACAAAAUUGGAUGAUUUUUAAAAAUUUAAUUUAAAAUGGAUGUUUUCGAAAGUAGAAUGCAUUAAAUAGGACUUUUUUUUAAAGUAAGAUGCAUAGAUGAGAAAAAGAGAAGUUUGAUUUUUCAAUGACGUUAUAGAAAGAAAGGUUAAAGUACAAUGCUAAAAAUGAGAUAUUUUUAAAAAUUCAAGGUAAAAUGAAAGUUUUUGAAAGUAGAAUGGUUAAUAUGGAGGUUUUUCAAAGUAAAAUGCAUAGAUGAGGAAAAAAAAUAUGAUGUUACAGAAAGAAAAGUUAUAGUAUAAUGCAAAAAAAUUGGUUGAUUUUUAAAAAAUCAAUGUAAAUGGAAGUUUUUGAUAGUCCAAUGCUUCAAUGGGAAGUUCUUUUAAAGUAAAAUUCAUAGAUGAGAAAAAGAGAGGUUUGAUGUUUCAAUGACGUUACAGAAAGAAAAGUUAAAGUAAAGUGCAAUAAAUGGGAAGAUUUUUGAAAAUUGAAUGUAAAAUGAAAGUUAUUGAAACUAAAAUGCUUUAUUGGUAGUUUUUUCAUAGUAAAAUGCAUACAUGAGAAAUGAGAAGUUUGAUGUUUCAAUGAUGUUAUAGAAAGAAAAUCGAAAGUAUAAUGUUAAAAAUCAUAUGAUUUUUGAAAAAUCAAAUGUGUAAAAUGGAAGAUAUUCAACGAAAAAGGUUUUAAUUGGAAGUUUUUUUAAAAAUAAAAUGCAAAGAUGAGAAAAAAGAGGUUUCACGUUUCAAUGAUGUUACAGAAAGAAAAUCGAUAGUACAUUGUUAAAAACCAGAUGAUUUUUGAAAAUUCAAUGUAAAAUGAAAGAUUUUGAAAGAAAAAUGUUUUAAUUGCAAGUCUUUUCAAAAUAAAAUGCAUAGAUGAGAAAAAGAGAGGUUUGAUGUUUCAUUGUUUCAGAAAGAAAAGUGAAAGUACAAUGCCAACAAUAUGAUGAUUUUUGAAAAUUUAAUGUAAAAUAAAAUAUUUGAAAGUAGAAUGUUUGAUUUCAAGUUUUUUCAAAGUAAAAUGCAUAUAUAAGAAAAAAAAUAAGUUCGAUAUAUCAAUGAUGUUACAGAAAGAGAAAAGUAAAGGACAUAAGUUUGAACUUAGAAUGCUUUUACGAGAGGUUUUUUCAAAGUAAAAUGCAUAGAUGAGAAAAAGAGGUUUGAUGAUUUAACAAUGCUACAUAAAGAAUAAGUUAAAGUACAAUGCUAGAAAUGUGAUGAUUUUAAAAAAAUUAAUGUAAAGUGGAAAAUUCUUAAAAGUAGAAUGUUUUAAUCGUAAGAUUUUUUAAAGUAAAAUACAUAGAUGAGAAAAAAAACGUUUAAUGUUUCAAUGAUGUUACAGAAAGAAAAGUUCAAGAUAAGUGCUAAAAAGGGAUGUUUUUUGAAAACUAAAUGUAAAAUGGAAGUUUUUGAAAGUAGAAUGCUUUAAUUCUAAGUUUUUUUAAAGUAAAAUAUAGAGAUGAGAAAAAGAAGUUUGAUGUUUCAAUUAUGUUACACAAAGAAGAGUUAAAGUACAAUCCUAAAAAUAUGAUGGUUUUUAAAAAUUGAAUGUAAAAUGGAAGUUUAUCAAAGUAGAAUGCUUAAAAUGCAAGUUUUUUCAAAGCAAAAUGCAUAGAUGAUAAAAAAGGUUUGAUGUUUCAAUUAUGUUAAAGAAAGUACAAUGCUAAAAAUGGGUUGAUUUUUGAAAUAUCAACGUAAAAUGGACGAUUUUGAAAGUAGAAUGCUUCGAUUUGAAAAAAUUUCAAAGUAAAACGCAUAGAUGAGAAAAAAAAAGAUGUUUGAUGUGUCAAUGAUGUUACAGAAAGGAAACUUAAAAUAUAGUCCUAAAAAUGGGAUGAUUUUUGAAAAUUGAAUGUAAAACGGAAGUAUUUGAAUGUAAAAUGCUUUAACUGGAAGUUUUUUCAAUGUUAAAUGCAUAAAUGAGAAAAAGAGAUGUUUGAUGUUUCAAAAAUGUUACAGAAAGAAAAAUGUAAUGAGCAAUUCUAAAAAUGGGAUGAUUUUUGAAAAAUGAAUGUAAAAUGGAAGUUUUUGAAUGUAGAAUGCUUUAAACAGAACUUUUUUCAAUGAGAAAAAGAGAUGUUUGAUGUUUUAAUGAUGUAAUAAAAAUGUGUAGAUUUUUAAAAUUUCAAUUUAAAAUGGAAGUUUUUCAGAGUCGAAUGCUUUAGUUGUAAGUUUUUUCAAAGUAAAAAUAAAUGAGAAAAAAAAGAUGUUUUGAUGUUUCAAAGAUGUUACAAAAAGAAAAAUGUAAUGAACAAUUCUAAAAUGGGAUGAUUUUUGAAAAUUAAAUGUAAAAUGAAAGUUUUUGAAUGUAGAGUGCUUUGAUUGGAACUUUUUUUAGUGAGAAAAAGAGAUGUUUGAUGUUUCAAUGAUGUUAUAGAAAGAAAAAGGUAAAGUAUAAUGCCAAAUUUGUGAUGAUUUUAAGAAAUUUAAUGUAAAUUGCAAGUUUUUAAGAGUAUAAUGCUUUAACUGUAAGUAUUUUAAGAAAUUUAAGAAAAAAAAAAGAAUGAUGUUUCAAAGAUGUUGCAUAAAGAAAAAGUUAAAGUGUAAUGCUAAAAAUGGGAUGGUUUUUGAAGAUUGAAUGUGAAAUUGAAGUUUUUGAAAGUAUAGUUCUUUAAUUGUAAGUAUUUUUCAAAGUAAAAUGCAUACAUGAGAAAAAGUUAACGUACAGUGCUAAAAAAUGAGAGAAAUCUUAAAAUCGAAUCUAAAUGGAAGUUUUUGAAAAUAAAUGCUUUGAUUGAAAGUUUUUCAAAGUAAAAUUCAUAGAUGAGAACAUGAGAAUUUCGAUUUUUGAAAGAUGUUACAUAAAGAAAAGUUUAAAGUGCAAUGAUAAAAAUUGGAUGACUUUUGAAAAUCAAAAGUAAAAUGGAAGUUUUUGAAAAUAAAAUGUUUUAAUUGGAAUUUUUUUCAAAGUAAAAAUGCAUAGAUGAGAAAAAGAAAGUUUGAUGUUUCAAUGAUGUUAUAGAAAGAAAUAAGUUGAAGUGAAAUGCUAAAAAUGGGAUAUUUUUAAAAUCGAAUGUCAAAUGGAAGUUUUUGAAAAUAAAAUGUUUUGAUUGAAAGUUUUUUAAAACUAAAACGCAUACAUGAGAAAUGAGAAGUUUGAUGUUUCAUAGAUGUUACAUAAAGAAAAAGUUAAAGUGCGAUGUUAAAAAUGAAAUGAUUUUUUAAAAUUGAAUGUAAAAUGGAAGUUUUUAUAAAUAAAAUGCUUUAAUUGUAAGCUCUUUUGAAUGUAAAAUGAAUACAAGAGAAAAAGUUAAAGUGCAAUGCUAAAAAUGGAAUGAUUUAGGAAAAUUGAAUGUCACAUGGAAGUUUUUAAAAGUAGAAUGCUUUAAAUGUAAGAUUUUUUCAAAGUAAAAUGCAUAGAUAAGAACAACAAAAGUUUGAUGUUUCAAUGAUGUUACAUAAUGAAAAUUUUAAAGUGCAAUGCUAAAAAAUGGAUGAUUUUUUAAAAUUGAAUGUGAAAUUGAAGGUUCUAACUAUAGAAUGCUUUAGUUGUAGGUUUUUUUCAAAGUAAAAUGCGUAGAUGAGAAAAAAAAGUUUGAUGUUUCAGUGAUGUUACAUAAAAAAAAGUUAAAGCAAGAUACUAAAAACGGAAUGAUUUUUGAAAAUUGAAAAGUUUUUUCAAAGUAAAAUGCAUAGAUGAGAAAUGAGAAGUUUAAUGUUUCAAAGAUGUUACAUAAAUAAAAAGUUAAAGUGCAAUGCUAAAAAUAGGAUUAUUUUUGAAAAUUGAAUGUGAAAUGGAAGUUUUUGAAAGUACAAUGCUUUAAUUGUAAGUUUUUCUGCAAAGUAAAAUGCAUACAUGAGAAAAAGUUAAGGUAUAAUGCUAAAAAUGGGAUGAUCUACGAAAAUUAAAUGUAAAAUGGAAGUUUUUGAAAAUAGAAUGCUUUAAUUGAAAGUUUUUUCAAAGUAAAAUGUAAAGAUGAGAAAAAAAAAAGAAGUUUGAUGUUUCAUUUACAAAAAAGAAAAAGUUAAAAUGCAACGCUAAAAAUGAGAUGAUUUUUAAAAAUUCGAUGUAAAAUGGAAGUUUUUAAAAGUAGGAUGCUUUGAUUGUAAGUUUUUUUUCAAAAUACACUGCAUAGAUGAGAAAUGACAAGUUUGAUGUACCAAAAAUGUUACAUAAAGAAAAAUUUAAAGUGCAAUGUUAAAAAUUGAAUGAUUUUUCAAAAUCAAAUGUAAAAUGGAAGUUUUUGAAAGUAGAAUGCUUUGGUUGUAAGUUUUUUUCAAAGUAAAAUGAGUAGAUGAGAAAAAGAGAAGUUUGAUGUUUCAAUGAUGCAUAGAGAAAAAGUUAAAGUCCGAUGCUAAAAAUGGGAUGUUCUUUGAAAAUUGAAUGUGAAAUCGAUGUUUUUGAAAGUAGAAUGCUUCAAUUGUAAUUUUUCUUCAAAGUAAAUUGCAUAGAUGAGAAAAAAAAAGUUUAAUGUUUCAAUGAUGUUGAAAGAAACAAGUUAGAGCACAAUGCUAAAAAAUGGGAUAAUUUUUUAAAAUUCAGUGUAAAAUCGACAUUUUUGAAAAUAAAAGCUGUUAUUGGAAGUUUUUUCAAAGGAAUAUGCAUAGAUGAGAUGUUUCAAUGAUGUUACAAAAAGAAAAAAAAAGAGGGGGGGGGGAUGAUUUUUUAAAAUACAUCGUAAAAUGAAAGAUUUUGAAAGUAGAAUGCCUGAAUUGGAAGUUUUUUCAUAGUAUAUAUAAUGCAUCAAUGAGAGAAAAAGAAGUUUGAUGUUUUAAUGAUGUUACAUAAAAAAAGAUUAAUUACUAUUCUAAAAAUAGGAUGGUUUUUGAAAAUUCAAUGUAAAUUGCAAGUUUUUGAAAGUAGAACGCUUGAAUUGCAAGUUUUUUCAAUGUAAAUGCAUAGAUGAGAAAAAAAAAUAAGAGUGAUGUUUCAAUGAUGUUACACAUAGAAAAAGGUAAAGUACAAUGUUAAAAAUGUGAUGAUUUUUUAAAAUUCAGUGUAAAUAGAAAAUUCUGAAAAUAAAAUGCUUUAUUUAGAAGUUUUUUCAAAGUAAAAUGCAUAGAUAAGAAAAGAGAAGUUUGAUGUUUUAAUGAUGUCACAAAAAGAAAAAUUAAAGUACAAUUUUUUUUUCAAAAUAAAAUGCAUAGAUGAGAAAAGUAAAGUUUCAAUGAUGUUAUUCAAAGAAAAAGUGAAAAGUGCAAUGCUGAAAAUGGAAUGAUUUUUGAAAAAUCAAUGUAAAAUGGAAGUUUUGGACAAAAAAUGCUUUAAUUGGAAAUUUUUUCAGAAGUAAAAUGCAUAGGAGAGAAAAGUGAAGUUUGAUGUUUCAUUGAUGUUAGAUAAAGAAAUGUUAAAGUAGAAUGCUAAAAAUGGGAUGAUUUAUGAGAAUUUAAUGCAAAACGGAUGUGUUUUUUGAAUGUACAAUGAUUUAAUGGGAAGUUUUUUCAAAAUAAAAUUAAAGCACCAUGCUAAUUGUAAAAGAAUAAGAGCAGCAGGACAUGAACAUGAACAUUGAAUUUAUGACACACAACAAAAUAUAGAGUGGUUUAGUGGUAAAACAUACCUGGAGUAUGAAAUGAAAGCAAUUUGCUAUUUCUGGAUCCCCACUAUGAAAGUGGAAAUAUACACAUUUUUUUUUCAAUGUUAAAUGCAUAAAUGAGAAAAAGAGAUGUUUGAUGUUUCAAUGAAGUUAUAGAAAGAAAAAGGUAAAGUAAAACGCUAAAUUUGUGAUGAUUUUUAAAAAUUUAAUUCAAAAUGGAUGUUUUUGAGAGUCGAAUGUUUUAAUUGUAAGUUUUUUCAAAGUAAAAAUGCGUAGAUGAGAAAAAAAGAUGUUUGAUGUUUCAAAAAUGAUUCCGAAAGAAAAAUGUAAAGUACAAUUCUAAAAAUGGCAUGAUUUUUGAAAAUUGAAUGCAAAAUGUAAGUAUUUUAUUGUAGAAUACUUUAAUUGGAAUGUUCUUCAAUGUAAAAUGCAUAAAUGAGAAAAAGUGAUGUUUGAUCUUUCAAUGAUGUUAUAGAAAGAAAAAGCUAAAGUAUAAUGCAAAAGUUGCCAUGAUUUUUAAAAAAUCAGAUUGAAAUGAAAAUUUUUGAGUAUAAUGCUUUAAUUGUAAGUUUUUUCAAAGUAAAAUGCAUAGAUGAGAAAAAAAGAUGGCUGAUGUUUCAAAGAUGUUACAAAAAGAAAAAUGUAAUGUACAAUUCUAAAAAUGGUAUACUUUUUGAAAAUUGAAUGUAAAAUGAAAGUUUUUGAAUGUAGAAUGCUUUAUUUGAAAGUUUAUUCACUGUAAAAUGCAUGAAUGAGAAAAAAAAAUGUUUGAUGUCACAAUGAUGUUAUAGAAAGAAAAUGUUAAAAGUAUAAAGCUAAAUUUUUGAUGAUUUUUAUAAAUUCAAUGUAAAAUGGAAGUUUUUGAGAGUGCAAUGUUUUAAUUGUAAGUUUUUUCAAUGUAAAAUGCAUAGAUGAGAGAUAAAAGAUAUUAGAUGUUUCAAAAAUGUAACUUACAAUUCUAAAAAUUGGAUGAUUUUUGAAAAUUGAAUGUAAAAUGAAAGUUUUUGAAUGUAGAAUGCUUUAAUUGGAAGUUUUUUUCAAUGUAAAAUGCAUAAAUGAGAAAAAGAGAUGUUUGAUGUUUCAAUGAUGUUAUAGAAAGAAAAAGGUAAACUAUAAUGCUAAAUUUGUGAUGGUUUUAAGAAAUUCAAUAUAAAAUGGAAGUUUUUGAGAGUAUAAUGNNNNN